GUCUAUGGCCAUACCACCCUGAGUGUGCCUGAUCUCGUCUGGUCUUGGAAGCUAAGGAGGGUCAGGCCUGGUUGUUACUUGAAUGGGAGACAAAUCUGCAAAAGAGACUGCUCAGAGACA
rnacentral:rRNA from 1 species